UGACUGUUGCAACGGAAACACAAACACCCCUCUCAAUAGCUUACCAUUUGAAAAUAAUGUGUUGCAUUUGGCAUGAACUAUCACUACUGUAUUAAGGGUAAAAAUACGGGGUUAUUUGGUCACCUUUAAUUGAGUUUCCUUUAUGCAUCUUGUAAUCUUAAGCUGUGUUACUGUGUCUAAGAUAGCAUAGAAUUAUGUGCAGGUUGCUAAGGCUGGAAGCCGUGAAGAGAUCAGGCUCGGGAGGGCGCCAUGAUCCCUAUGUUUACACGAUAACUGGGUGAAGUUAACAUAAAAAGUUAAGCUACUUGCAAUGGUAGCGGAUUAGAUAUAUAUGCAUUCACUCCCGGCUAAAGAUUGUGUAUAGUUAUUUCAUAUAUUCGGCUAAAUUCAGGUAUAUAUAUCCCUACAUAUAAAGUUAGGGAAAUUUUGUUGUAGGCAACUUAUAUAUAGUCAUGGUAAGUGGUGCAUUAGAGGUGUCCAGAUGUAAAGUACAACUCAAAAGCUACGCUAUGAGUACAUCUUAGUUCAACACUUAAACGUGUGCCCUAGUAUAUAUAUUGUUAUAUACAAAUGUAUAAGAAAAUUCAACCGAAGAUUAUUGUAUCGGGAAUAAAUAGUUUUUUCAUGUAUAAGAACGUUCCGAGUUAGAAUUGUGGUUUCAGUUAACUUUAAUAUCUUACUCGCUUAUAACAGUACCCAACUUUUAGUGACACAAUUUCUAUUUAUUAAAAGGACAAGAAAAGAAAGGGGUAUUGGAUGUCAGGAAAACGCACAUAAAGAAAAGCAAAAUGAUCAAAUGACUAAUAUUUACGUGAGACUGCAAUUUAUUCGUGUAGCAUACCUGACAACUAUUGAGUGUGCGAUAUGCCCACAACUAAAGAAAUAUUAUUUGCAAGUCUUGUAUAACUAGAACAUAUACCUAUUUUUUUGGCACCGAAAGUCCGAAAGUACAUCCAUUGACCAUUGUAUCAGCGAGGUCAUAACAUUAUAUAAAGUCUGGCGAGAUCAUCAAAACUCAACAAAAUUUUAAUAAAUAAAUAAGGAGUCUGAGACAGCAAUAUACAUCUAUUUGUUUAGUAUUGCAAAUUCACUAAGCAGUCACCGUAUAUUAUGAUAUUCCUUACUGCUGUGUAGUCGCGUUUCAAAAAACGUAAAAUCAAAAUAAAAUGUUGCAUGCAAACAAAAUUGAAAUUCAGUGCGACUUUGUCCCUUGAAAUCAAACUUUGAACAAUUGCUAUAUAAGGAAUACAGCUUCUAGCAUGUUCCUAUAUUAUUCCGCCGUGACGGGAGAACAUGCGC